GACGAACGCUGGCGGCGUGCCUAAUACAUGCAAGUAGAACGCUGAAGGAGGAGCUUGCUUCUCCGGAUGAGUUGCGAACGGGUGAGUAACGCGUAGGUAACCUGCCUGGUAGCGGGGGAUAACUAUUGGAAACGAUAGCUAAUACCGCAUAACAGUAGAUGUUGCAUGACAUUUGCUUAAAAGGUGCAAUUGCAUCACUACCAGAUGGACCUGCGUUGUAUUAGCUAGUUGGUGAGGUAACGGCUCACCAAGGCGACGAUACAUAGCCGACCUGAGAGGGUGAUCGGCCACACUGGGACUGAGACACGGCCCAGACUCCUACGGGAGGCAGCAGUAGGGAAUCUUCGGCAAUGGACGGAAGUCUGACCGAGCAACGCCGCGUGAGUGAAGAAGGUUUUCGGAUCGUAAAGCUCUGUUGUAAGAGAAGAACGAGUGUGAGAGUGGAAAGUUCACACUGCGACGGUAUCUUACCAGAAAGGGACGGCUAACUACGUG
rnacentral:rRNA from 1 species